rnacentral:rRNA from 1 species
UGGGGAAUAUUGGACAAUGGGCGGAAGCCUGAUCCAGCAACGCCGCGUGAGGGAUGACGGCCUUCGGGUUGUAAACCUCUUUCAUCACCGACGAAGGCGCGAUCUUUUGGUUGUGUUGACGGUAGGUGGAGAAGAAGCACCGGCCAACUACGUGCCAGCAGCCGCGGUAAUACGUAGGGUGCGAGCGUUGUCCGGAAUUAUUGGGCGUAAAGGGCUCGUAGGCGGUUUGUCGCGUCGGGAGUGAAAACCAUGAGCUUAACUCAUGGCUUGCUUUCGAUACGGGCAGACUGGAGGUAUGCAGGGGAGAACGGAAUUCCUGGUGUAGCGGUGAAAUGCGCAGAUAUCAGGAGGAACACCGGUGGCGAAGGCGGUUCUCUGGGCAUUACCUGACGCUGAGGAGCGAAAGUGUGGGGAGCGAACAGGAUUAGAUACC